AUUGAACGCUGGCGGCAGGCCUAACACAUGCAAGUCGAACGAGUGGCGGACGGGUGAGUAAUGUCUGGGAAACUGCCUGAUGGAGGGGGAUAACUACUGGAAACGGUAGCUAAUACCGCAUACCAUCGGAUGUGCCCCGAUGGGAUUAGCUAGUAGGUGGGGUAAAGGCUAACCUAGGCGACGAUCCCUAGCUGGUCUGAGAGGAUGACAAGCAAAACGGGAACUGAGACACGGGCCAGACACCUACGGGAGGCAACAGUGGGGAAUAUUGCACAAGGGGCGAAAGCCUGAUGCAGGCAUGGCGCGUGAAUGAAGAAGGCCUUAGGGUAGUAAAGUACAUGCAGCGGGGAGGCGUUACGCGCAGAAGAAGCACCGGCUAACUCCGUGCCAGCCGCCGCGGUAAUAC
rnacentral:rRNA from 1 species